UAGAAAGUUACUUCGGUACAUCGGUGACAGGUGGUGCAUGGUUGUCGUCAGCUCGUGUCGUGAGAUGUUGGGUUAAGUCCGCAACGAGCGCAACCCUCGCCUCUAGUUGCCAGCAUUCGGUUGGGCACUCUAGAGGGGACUGCCGGCGACAAGUCGGAGGAAGUGGGGAUGACGUCAAAUCAUCAUGCCCCUUAUGACCUGGGCUACGCACGUGCUACAAUGGGCGGUACAAAGGGCUGCGAACCCGCGAGGGGGAGCGAAUCCCAAAAAGCCGCUCUCAGUUCGGAUUGCAGGCUGCAACUCGCCUGCAUGAAGCCGGAAUCGCUAGUAAUCGCGGAUCAGCAUGCCGCGGUGAAUACGUUCCCGGGCCUU
rnacentral:rRNA from 1 species